GUGGGGAAUCUUGCGCAAUGGGCGAAAGCCUGACGCAGCCAUGCCGCGUGAAUGAUGAAGGUCUUAGGAUUGUAAAAUUCUUUCACCGGGGACGAUAAUGACGGUACCCGGAGAAGAAGCUCCGGCUAACUUCGUGCCAGCAGCCGCGGUAAUACGAAGGGGGCUAGCGUUGCUCGGAAUUACUGGGCGUAAAGGGCGCGUAGGCGGACAGCUUAGUCAGAGGUGAAAGCCCAGGGCUCAACCUUGGAAUUGCCUUUGAUACUGGCUGUCUUGAGUUUGGGAGAGGUGAGUGGAACUCCGAGUGUAGAGGUGAAAUUCGUAGAUAUUCGGAAGAACACCAGUGGCGAAGGCGACUCACUGACCCAAUACUGACGCUGAGGCGCGAAAGCGUGGGGAGCAAACAGGAUUAGAAACCCGAGUAGUCC
rnacentral:rRNA from 1 species